rnacentral:lncRNA from 1 species
ACUAUUUUAGAUCUAGGGUAUUGAUUUGAUCAAUACCAAAUCUUUUAUUUUUCUGAUUUAUAAAUGCAAUAUGACAUGUUAUAGGUCCUAAUUGUAGGGUUUAGUAAUUUGAUUACAUACAUUUGUAGAUUAAAUUAUUUAAUAUACAUAUUUCGCUGCGUUAUAUUUCAAAAAUAUUUUAAAAUUCAUGCAUGAAAUCCUGCACCUUUUUCAAUAGUUUUCCCCUCGAUUCUCGCAGUCCAUGAUGGACCGACGAGCAUUUCCUAUAUUUCACACUCAGAUGCGUGCGAUCUAACAGUCGAAGUCGCUAUCGGUGAAAAUCCAACGGCCC